AGAGUUUGAUCCUGGCUCAGGAUGAACGCUGGCGGCGUGCCUAACACAUGCAAGUCGAGCGAUCUUCUUCGGAAGAGAGCGGCGGACGGGUGAGUAACGCGUGGGUAACCUGCCCUGUACACACGGAUAACAUACCGAAAGGUAUGCUAAUACGAGAUAAUAUGCUUUUAUCGCAUGGUAGAAGUAUCAAAGCUCCGGCGGUACAGGAUGGACCCGCGUCUGAUUAGCUAGUUGGUAAGGUAACGGCUUACCAAGGCGACGAUCAGUAGCCGACCUGAGAGGGUGAUCGGCCACAUUGGAACUGAGACACGGUCCAAACUCCUACGGGAGGCAGCAGUGGGGAAUAUUGCACAAUGGGCGAAAGCCUGAUGCAGCAACGCCGCGUGAGCGAUGAAGGCCUUCGGGUCGUAAAGCUCUGUCCUCAAGGAAGACAAUGACGGUACUUGAGGAGGAAGCCCCGGCUAACUACGUGCCAGCAGCCGCGGUAAUACGUAGGGGGCUAGCGUUAUCCGGAAUUACUGGGCGUAAAGGGUGCGUAGGUGGUUUCUUAAGUCAGAGGUGAAAGGCUACGGCUCAACCGUAGUAAGCCUUUGAAACUGGGAAACUUGAGUGCAGGAGAGGAGAGUGGAAUUCCUAGUGUAGCGGUGAAAUGCGUAGAUAUUAGGAGGAACACCAGUUGCGAAGGCGGCUCUCUGGACUGUAACUGACACUGAGGCACGAAAGCGUGGGGAGCAAACAGGAUUAGAUACCCUGGUAGUCCACGCCGUAAACGAUGAGUACUAGCUGUCGGAGGUUACCCCCUUCGGUGGCGCAGCU
rnacentral:rRNA from 1 species